CCCUUAGAUGUUCUGGGCUGCACGCGCGCUACACUGAAGCUAUCAACACGUUUUCCCUCCCUGAGAAGGGCGGGUAACCUUUUGAAUCAGCUUCGUGGUAGGGAUCGGGGCUUGCAAUUGUUCCCCGUGAACCAGGAAUUCCUAGUAGACGCGAGUCAUAAGCUCGCAUCGAUUAAGUCCCUGCCCUUUGUACACACCGCCCGUCGCUACUACCGAUUGAACGUUUUAGUAAGGCAUUUGGACCGACGCAUCUCAGUUUAACCGCUGGUUUGUGUUGGAAAGACUUCCAAACUUGAGCGUUUAGAGGAAGUAAAAGUCGUAACA
rnacentral:rRNA from 1 species